rnacentral:rRNA from 1 species
GAGUUUGAUCCUGGCUCAGAUUGAACGCUGGCGGCAUGCCUUACACAUGCAAGUCGAACGGCAGCACGGGAGCUUGCUCCUGGUGGCGAGUGGCGAACGGGUGAGUAAUGCAUCGGAACGUAUCCUGGAGUGGGGGAUAACGUAGCGAAAGUUACGCUAAUACCGCAUAUUCUGUGAGCAGGAAAGCGGGGGACCUUCGGGCCUCGCGCUCUUGGAGCGGCCGACGUCGGAUUAGCUAGUUGGUGAGGUAAAGGCUCACCAAGGCGACGAUCCGUAGCAGGUCUGAGAGGAUGAUCUGCCACACUGGAACUGAGACACGGUCCAGACUCCUACGGGAGGCAGCAGUGGGGAAUUUUGGACAAUGGGGGCAACCCUGAUCCAGCCAUGCCGCGUGAGUGAAGAAGGCC